rnacentral:rRNA from 1 species
GACGAACGCUGGCGGCGUGCUUAACACAUGCAAGUCGAACGGAAAGGCCCCCAUCUUGGUGGGGGUGCUCGAGUGGCGAACGGGUGAGUAACACGUGGGUGAUCUGCCCUGUACUUCGGGAUAAGCUUGGGAAACUGGGUCUAAUACCGGAUAGGACCAUGGUUUAGUGUCUCAUGGUGGAAAGAUUAUUGUUUUGGUGCAGGAUGAGCUCGCGGCCUAUCAGCUUGUUGGUGGGGUAAUGGCCUACCAAGGCGUCGACGGGUAGCCGGCCUGAGAGGGUGGACGGCCACAUUGGGGCUGAGAUACGGCCCAGACGCCUACGGGAGGCAGCAGUGGGGAAGAUUGCACAAUGGGCGCAAGCCUGAUGCAGCGACGCCGCGUGGGGGAUGACGGCCGUCGGGUGGUAAACUCCUUUCGUUAGGGACGAAGCCGCACUUUUUUUGGGUGUGGUGACGGUACCUUUGUUAAGAAGCACCGGCUAACUACGUG